rnacentral:rRNA from 1 species
AUUGAACGCUGGCGGCAGGCUUAACACAUGCAAGUCGAGCGAGCGGCGGACGGGUGAGUAAUGUCUGGGAAACUGCCUGAUGGAGGGGGAUAACUACUGGAAACGGUAGCUACUACCGCCUACCAUCAAAUUUACCCAGAUGGGAUUAGCUAGUAGGUGGGGUAAUGGCUCACCUAGGCGACGAACCCUAGCUGUUCUGAGAGGAUGACCAGCAACACUGGGACUGGGACACGGCCCAGACUCCUACGGGAGGCAGCAGUGGGGAAUAUUGCACAAUGGGCGCAAGCCUUAUGCAGCCAUGCCGCGUGUGUGAAGAAGGCCUUAGGGUUGUAAAGCACUUUCAGCGAGGAGGCGUUACCCGCAGAAGAAGCACCGGCUAACUCCGUGCCAGCAGCCGCGGUAAUUC